GAUGAACGCUGGCGGCGUGCUUAAUUACAUGCAAGUCGAACGAAUGGAUGUCUAGCUUGCUAGACUGAAGUUAGUGGCGAAACGGGUGAGUAAUACAUAGGCAAUCUGCCCUGAAGUGUGGGAUAGCUAUUGGAAACGAUAAUUAAUACCGCAUAGGUAGUAGGAAGGCAUCUUCCUACUAUUAAAGAUGCGUCUGCAUCGCUGCAGGAUGAGCUUAUGGUGUAUUAGCUAGUUGGUGAGAUAAAAGCCCACCAAGGCUAUGAUACAUAGCUGGUCUGAGAGGAUGAACAGCCACAUUGGGACUGAGACACGGCCCAGACUCCUACGGGAGGCAGCAGUAAGGAAUUUUCGGCAAUGGGGCAAACCCUGACCGAGCAAACGCCGCGUGAGUGAUGAAGGUCUUCGGAUCGUAAAACUCUGUUGUAAAGGAAGAAUGUCAUAAUAUAGGAAAUGAUAUAUGAGUGAC
rnacentral:rRNA from 1 species